rnacentral:rRNA from 1 species
GACGAACGCUGGCGGCGUGCUUAACACAUGCAAGUCGAACGAAGAGCGACGGAAGCUUGCUUCUAUCAAUCUUAGUGGCGAACGGGUGAGUAACGCGUAAUCAACCUGCCCUUCAGAGGGGGACAACAGUUGGAAACGACUGCUAAUACCGCAUACGAUCUAAUCUCGGCAUCGAGGAUAGAUGAAAGGUGGCCUCUACAUGUAAGCUAUCACUGAAGGAGGGGAUUGCGUCUGAUUAGCUAGUUGGAGGGGUAACGGCCCACCAAGGCGAUGAUCAGUAGCCGGUCUGAGAGGAUGAACGGCCACAUUGGGACUGAGACACGGCCCAGACUCCUACGGGAGGCAGCAGUGGGGAAUCUUCCGCAAUGGACGAAAGUCUGACGGAGCAACGCCGCGUGAGUGAUGACGGCCUUCGGGUUGUAAAGCUCUGUUAAUCGGGACGAAAGGCCUUCUUGCAAAUAGUGAGAAGGAUUGACGGUACCGGAAUAGAAAGCCACGGCUAA